AAAAGUUGGGUGAACUCAAAAUUUCAAGGCAACAAACUUUGAUAAAAUUUUAAGUUGGACAAUUAAACUAAAUAUUUUAAGUUUUGUUUUUGAGUUUGCUCAACUCUGAAUUCAGAUUUUUGUCAACUCAACUGUAAGUUGUACUAACUUGUAAUUUUACAUUGUAAUAACUUUUAAUCCUUACUUCUGCUAACUUCUGCAAUGUGCUGAAUUGGCACGAUUGUAACGCCGCUAUGAAAUGUCAGCUAAUGUUGCGACCACAAUGUUGAGUUAGCAUUGAUACGCUAAUGGCUACUCUUGUAGCUGUAACAAGCAGCGCCGCUAGCAUCAGUUAGCCGUUAGCCGCUAGCAUCAGUUAGCCGCUAGCAUCAGUUAGCUGCUAGCUUUCGCUAAUGACCGAAUUUCACCGCUUUCCUGCAUUUCCCAACAAAGAAAUAAGAGUUAUCAGAACUAUUGUCCCUUGUUGUGAACCCCAACUUAAAGAUAUAAGUAACAACAACUCACCAACUUGUUUUUGAGCAGACAACUGGCUUCCUUUGUUGUGCUAACUUACAUUAUUGCCCUAAAUGUCAAUAAUUUAUAUUUCCAAGUUUUACCAACUUAAAUCACUGUUUUAGGCCAAAAAAUACAAGUUGGCUUUUUUGCAGUGUAGAUUUAAUAAGCAACCUGGGCUUUAAUGACAAAGAAAACGAGGGAAAUACUUUUGGAGCUGAUGUUACACCAGCUUCAAACCAUGCAAAUGUUACUGUUGUUCAAUCUGAGAACUUCACAUUCACAUUCUUGUGCACAUGUAAAUAUAUCAGCCCAGUCGCCACUGAAAAAAUGUUGGUAUUGUGCAUGCAGGCAGGAGGUUCGGUGGAUGGGACCAACUAAUCCAGGACUUUAAACCUGGAGACCAGUCUUUGCAUCACAUUGAUAAUUACAAUUGGUGUUCUUAAAGCCUGAAGUUAGGUAGAUGGGACCAACUAAUCCAGAACAGGACCUGGAAACUGGUGUUUGCAUCACAUUGAUAAAAGUUUGGUGCAGAAUUAGUGUUCUUAAAGCCUGAGCCUGUCAUGUUUACCUAUAACCAUAACCGAGUGGUUUUGGUGCCCCAACUUGUCUGAAAUGUUGUUUAGGAGUUGCAGCGGUUCAGAAACGUUCAUAUUCCACAAACAUUUCAUGAUAAUAACCAAAAUCAUUAUCCAGAAAACCAUGUUAAAUGUCUAGAUAUCAGCUCUUUAAUUAAACUCUUAUGAGCUAUUUUUGUUGUUAUCAUUAUAUUUGUCCAAACAAAUGUACCUUUAGUUGUACCAGGCAUUAAAAUGAACAAGAAACUGAAGAAAACGAAAUAAUUUUUUCCAUGACUGUAUACUGCCCCCGCGACCCGGCCCCGGAUAAGCGGAGGAAAAUGGAUGGACGGAUGUAUUUCAGGUUUUAGCAAAUGUAGAGCAGCUGUUCUCAACCUUGGGGUCGGGACCCCAAUUGGGGUCGCCAAAUCAUUUUGGAAGUCAGCUCUGUCUCCACUGUGUUAAAGUGUUCAUGUGUUAAUGUGUUUUAGUCUUUUUGGUCAUUUAAUGUCUUGUUUUGGUCAUUUUGUGGGUUUUUUGGGUCAUUUUGUGUCUUUUUAGGUCAUUUUGUGUCUUUUUUUAGUAAUUUUGUGUCUUUUUUUGGUCAUUUUGUGUCUUUUUUUGGUCAUUUUGUGUCUUUUUGGGGUAAUUUUGUUUCUUUUUUGGGUCAUUUUGUGUCUUUUUUUAGUCAUUUUGUGUCUUUUUUAGUCAUUUUGAGUCUUUUUUGGUCAUUUUGGGUCUUUUUUUUGUCAUUUUGGGUCUUUUUUAGUCAUUUUGUGUCUCUUUUUGGUCAUUUUGGGUCUUUUUUGGGUGAUCUGAACUGUGCGUGUGAGAUUCUGUUCAGUGAGUGGGGGUCGCGGACAAUAUGCAUGUUAAAUUGGGGGUCGCAACUCAAAAAGGUUGAGAACUACUGAUGUAGAGAAUCAGUAUUAUGCGUGGUUUGCAGAAAU